CAGAGGUCUCAAGCGUUGUUCGGAUUCAUUGGGCGUAAGGGUGCGUAGGUGGCGCCGUAAGUCAGGUGUGAAAUCUCGGGGCUCAACCCCGAAACUGCACUUGAUACUGCGGUGCUCGAGUACUGGAGAGGAGAUUGGAAUUUACGGUGUAGCAGUGAAAUGCGUAGAUAUCGUAAGGAAGACCAGUGGCGAAGGCGAAUCUCUGGACAGUUACUGACACUGAGGCACGAAGGCCAGGGGAGCAAACGGGAUUAGAUACCCCGGUAGUCCUGGCAGUAAACGGUGCGCGUUUGGUGUGGGAGGAUUCGACCCCUUCUGUGCCGGAGCUAACGCGUUAAACGCGCCGCCUGGGGAGUACGGUCGCAAGAUUA
rnacentral:rRNA from 1 species